UGAAGGCCAGAUCUCGCCGUCGGAAGGCCAGAUCUCGCCGUCGGACGGCCAGAUCUGGCCUCCGGACCGCUAGAUCUGGCCUCCGGA
rnacentral:pre_miRNA from 1 species